UUUUUCAUAGACUGGAUUUAUAUAUUUAUAGCUAAAAUUAGGUUAAAUUUUUUUUUUACAGAGUUAAAUAUUUAGAUUGAUGAAAGAUGUAUAAUAGUGACAGGGAUUAGAUACCCCAUUAAUGUACAUUGUAGUUUUGUCUUAGUUAAUAUAACUAAAAUAAUUUGGCAGUGAGCGACUCUUUUUAGGGGAAGGUGUGGUGUAAAGGAUGUUCCGCCUAAUAAUUUACUUUCGUUAUGUUGGUGUAUAUCUGGUUUAAUAUUAUCGUUGAGUAAGUGAGUUUGCGUAGUUUUAUUUAAGCCAAGUCUAUGUGCUGCUUAUGAAAGUAUUCAUGCGUUACAUUUAUAAGGUUUAGGUUUGAAUCCUAAAAUAUUUAGGACUUAAAAGUAAUGUU
rnacentral:rRNA from 1 species